rnacentral:misc_RNA from 1 species
UACGUAGGUGGCAAGCGUUAUCCGGAAUCAUUGGGUUUAAAGGGUCCGUAGGCGGGUUAAUAAGUCAGUGGUGAAAGUCUGCAGCUCAACUGUAGAACUGCCAUUGAUACUGUUAACCUUGAGUAAUUAUGAAGUGGUUAGAAUAUGUAGUGUAGCGGUGAAAUGCAUAGAUAUUACAUAGAAUACCGAUUGCGAAGGCAGAUCACUAAUAAAAUACUGACGCUGAUGGACGAAAGCUAGGGUAGCGAAAGGG